rnacentral:rRNA from 1 species
GACGAACGCUGGCGGCGUGCUUAACACAUGCAAGUCGAACGGAAAGGCCCUGCUUGCAGGGUACUCGAGUGGCGAACGGGUGAGUAACACGUGGGCGAUCUGCCCUGCACUUCGGGAUAAGCCUGGGAAACUGGGUCUAAUACCGGAUAGGAGCCAUUUUUAGUGUGAUGGUUGGAAAGUUUUUUCGGUGUAGGAUGAGCUCGCGGCCUAUCAGCUUGUUGGUGGGGUAAUGGCCUACCAAGGCGGCGACGGGUAGCCGGCCUGAGAGGGGGGACGGCCACAUUGGGACUGAGAUACGGCCCAGACGCCUACGGGAGGCAGAAGUGGGGAAUAUUGCACAAUGGGCGCAAGCCUGAUGCAGCGACGCCGCGUGGGGGAUGACGGCCUUCGGGUUGUAAACUCCUUUCGCUAGGGACGAAGCUUUGUGUGACGGUACCUAGAUAAGAAGCACCGGCUAACUACGUG